GGCGUCUGUUUGUAGGAGCUGCUUUUCUGCUGCACGGUGCUCGGUAGCAGCGGUCACCGUACUUUUGAUCACGUCUGCGAAGCUUGGGACGAGGGGACUUGUGCACUGCCUCUGACUCCUGCAACACGCGGGGCCUCCGCGACCCGGCCGCCCGCACCCGCAGGAAGGGCCCCUCGAGUUCCGGCCGGAGAAGGGCCUCUCAGAAAGUGGCGGUGUCCGUGCCGCUCGGAGUCCCUGCUGAUCGGUAUCUCUCUUGCCCCAAAGCCGAUCCGCUCUUGGCUGGGCUGAGCUGCUCCAGCCGGGGGCUCACGUGACUCCGUGCUCAGGCGGGGGGUGUGCACCUGCCAGGCUGACUUCCAAGCAGACGUGAGAGUGGUCCACACCCUUGGAGCCUUCGCAGUGAUUUGGAAUUAAUUUUUCCUUGCUGUAUUGUUUUACCUGGGCCUAUGUGCUUUUAAAUCACUUUGCAAUUGGAGAGAAAUAAAUAAAACUAGAAGA